rnacentral:rRNA from 1 species
GCCUUACACAUGCAAGUCGAACGGCAGCACGGGAGCUUGCUCCUGGUGGCGAGUGGCGAACGGGUGAGUAAUAUAUCGGACCGUGCCUUGUGGUGGGGGAUAACUAGACAAAAUAUUAUCUAAUACCGCACACCCCCUGAGGGGGAAAGUAGGGGAUCUUCGGACCUUACGUUAUAAGAGCGGCCGAUAUCUGAUUAGCUAGUUGGGGGGGUAAUGGCCUACCAAGGCGACGAUCAGUAGCUGGUCUGAGAGGACCACCACCCACACUGGAACUGAGACACGGUCCAGACUCCUACGGGAGGCAGCAGUGGGGAAUUUUGGACAAUGGGCGCAAGCCUGAUCCAGCCAUUCCGCGUGAGUGAAGAAGGCCUUCGGGUUGUAAAGCUCUUUCGCAAGGGAAGAAAACUUACUUUCUAAUAAAGAGUGAGGCUGACGGUACCUUGAUAAGAAGCACCGGCUAACUACGUGCCAGCAGCCGCGGUAAUACGUAGGGUGCGAGCGUUAAUCGGAAUUACUGGGCGUAAAGCGUGCGCAGGCGGUUUGGCAAGUCAGAUGUGAAAUCCCCGAGCUCAACUUGGGAACUGCGUUUGAAACUGCCAGACUAGAAUAUGUCAGAGGGGGGUAGAAUUCCACGUGUAGCAGUGAAAUGCGUAGAGAUGUGGAGGAAUACCAAUGGCGAAGGCAGCCCCCUGGGAUAAUAUUGACGCUCAUGCACGAAAGCGUGGGGAGCAAACAGGAUUAGAUACCCUGGUAGUCCACGCCCUAAACGAAGUUUUAUUGUUGUCGGGACUUAAUUGUCUUGGUAACGCAGCUAAGGCGUGAAGUAGACCGCCUGGGGAGUACGGUCGCAAGAUUAAAACUCAAAGGAAUUGACGGGGACCCGCACAAGCGGUGGAUGAUGUGGAUUAAUUCGAUGCAACGCGAAAAACCUUACCUACCCUUGACAUGUACGGAACCUCUGAGAGAUUAGAGGGUGCUCGAAAGAGAGCCGUAACACAGGUGCUGCAUGGCUGUCGUCAGCUCGUGUCGUGAGAUGUUGGGUUAAGUCCCGCAACGAGCGCAACCCUUGUCAUUAGUUGCUACGAAAGGGCACUCUAAUGAGACUGCCGGUGACAAACCGGAGGAAGGUGGGGAUGACGUCAAGUCCUCAUGGCCCUUAUGGGUAGGGCUUCACACGUCAUACAAUGGUACAUACAGAGGGCCGCCAACCCGCGAGGGGGAGCUAAUCCCAGAAAGUGUAUCGUAGUCCGGAUUGUAGUCUGCAACUCGACUACAUGAAGUUGGAAUCGCUAGUAAUCGCGGAUCAGCAUGUCGCGGUGAAUACGUUCCCGGGUCUUGUACUCACCGCCCGUCA